rnacentral:rRNA from 1 species
GACGAACGCUGGCGGCGUGCUUAACACAUGCAAGUCGAACGGAAAGGCCUGCUUUCCCUUGUGGAUUGCGGGUACUCGAGUGGCGAACGGGUGAGUAACACGUGAGUGAUCUGCCCCCAACUUGGGUAUAAGCCUGGGAAACUGGGUCUAAUUCCCGAUAGGACUGCAGGGUGGUGCCUGUGGUGGAAAACGAUUUUCUAGUGGUUGGGGAUGAGCUCGCGGCCUAUCAGCUUGUUGGUGGGGUAAUGGCCUACCAAGGCGGCGACGGGUAGCCGGCCGGAGAGGGGGGACGGCCACAUUGGGACUGGGAUACGGCCCAGACUCGUACGGGAGGCAGCAGUGGGGAAUAAUGCACAAUGGGCGGAAGCCUGAUGCAGCGACGCCGCGUGGGGGAUGACGGCCUUCGGGUUGUAAACUCCUUUCGACCGCGAGGAAGCCACCUGGUUGGAAGGGUGGUGACGGUAGUGGUAGAAGAAGCACCGGCUAACUACGUG